rnacentral:rRNA from 1 species
ACUAAGCGUACACGGUGGAUGCCCUGGCAGUCAGAGGCGAUGAAGGACGUGCUAAUCUGCGAUAAGCGUCGGUAAGGUGAUAUGAACCGUUAUAACCGGCGAUUUCCGAAUGGGGAAACCCAGUGUGAUUCGUCACACUAUCAUUAACUGAAUUCAUAGGUUAAUGAGGCGAACCGGGGGAACUGAAACAUCUAAGUACCCCGAGGAAAAGAAAUCAACCGAGAUUCCCCCAGUAGCGGCGAGCGAACGGGGAGGAGCCCAGAGCCUGAAUCAGUGUGUGUGUUAGUGGAAGCGUCUGGAAAGGCGCGCGAUACAGGGUGACAGCCCCGUACACAAAAAUGCACAUGCUGUGAGCUCGAUGAGUAGGGCGGGACACGUGGUAUCCUGUCUGAAUAUGGGGGGACCAUCCUCCAAGGCUAAAUACUCCUGACUGACCGAUAGUGAACCAGUACCGUGAGGGAAAGGCGAAAAGAACCCCGGCGAGGGGAGUGAAAAAGAACCUGAAACCGUGUACGUACAAGCAGUGGGAGCCUCUUUAUGGGGUGACUGCGUACCUUUUGUAUAAUGGGUCAGCGACUUAUAUUCUGUAGCAAGGUUAACCGAAUAGGGGAGCCGAAGGGAAACCGAGUCUUAACUGGGCGUUAAGUUGCAGGGUAUAGACCCGAAACCCGGUGAUCUAGCCAUGGGCAGGUUGAAGGUUGGGUAACACUAACUGGAGGACCGAACCGACUAAUGUUGAAAAAUUAGCGGAUGACUUGUGGCUGGGGGUGAAAGGCCAAUCAAACCGGGAGAUAGCUGGUUCUCCCCGAAAGCUAUUUAGGUAGCGCCUCGUGAAUUCAUCUCCGGGGGUAGAGCACUGUUUCGGCAAGGGGGUCAUCCCGACUUACCAACCCGAUGCAAACUGCGAAUACCGGAGAAUGUUAUCACGGGAGACACACGGCGGGUGCUAACGUCCGUCGUGAAGAGGGAAACAACCCAGACCGCCAGCUAAGGUCCCAAAGUCAUGGUUAAGUGGGAAACGAUGUGGGAAGGCCCAGACAGCCAGGAUGUUGGCUUAGAAGCAGCCAUCAUUUAAAGAAAGCGUAAUAGCUCACUGGUCGAGUCGGCCUGCGCGGAAGAUGUAACGGGGCUAAACCAUGCACCGAAGCUGCGGCAGCGACGCUUAUGCGUUGUUGGGUAGGGGAGCGUUCUGUAAGCCUGCGAAGGUGUACUGUGAGGUAUGCUGGAGGUAUCAGAAGUGCGAAUGCUGACAUAAGUAACGAUAAAGCGGGUGAAAAGCCCGCUCGCCGGAAGACCAAGGGUUCCUGUCCAACGUUAAUCGGGGCAGGGUGAGUCGACCCCUAAGGCGAGGCCGAAAGGCGUAGUCGAUGGGAAACAGGUUAAUAUUCCUGUACUUGGUGUUACUGCGAAGGGGGGACGGAGAAGGCUAUGUUGGCCGGGCGACGGUUGUCCCGGUUUAAGCGUGUAGGCUGGUUUUCCAGGCAAAUCCGGAAAAUCAAGGCUGAGGCGUGAUGACGAGGCACUACGGUGCUGAAGCAACAAAUGCCCUGCUUCCAGGAAAAGCCUCUAAGCAUCAGGUAACAUCAAAUCGUACCCCAAACCGACACAGGUGGUCAGGUAGAGAAUACCAAGGCGCUUGAGAGAACUCGGGUGAAGGAACUAGGCAAAAUGGUGCCGUAACUUCGGGAGAAGGCACGCUGAUACGUAGGUGAAGUCCCUUGCGGAUGGAGCUGAAAUCAGUCGAAGAUACCAGCUGGCUGCAACUGUUUAUUAAAAACACAGCACUGUGCAAACACGAAAGUGGACGUAUACGGUGUGACGCCUGCCCGGUGCCGGAAGGUUAAUUGAUGGGGUUAGCGGUAACGCGAAGCUCUUGAUCGAAGCCCCGGUAAACGGCGGCCGUAACUAUAACGGUCCUAAGGUAGCGAAAUUCCUUGUCGGGUAAGUUCCGACCUGCACGAAUGGCGUAAUGAUGGCCAGGCUGUCUCCACCCGAGACUCAGUGAAAUUGAACUCGCUGUGAAGAUGCAGUGUACCCGCGGCAAGACGGAAAGACCCCGUGAACCUUUACUAUAGCUUGACACUGAACAUUGAGCCUUGAUGUGUAGGAUAGGUGGGAGGCUUUGAAGUGUGGACGCCAGUCUGCAUGGAGCCGACCUUGAAAUACCACCCUUUAAUGUUUGAUGUUCUAACGUUGGCCCCUAAUCGGGGUUGCGGACAGUGUCUGGUGGGUAGUUUGACUGGGGCGGUCUCCUCCUAAAGAGUAACGGAGGAGCACGAAGGUUGGCUAAUCCUGGUCGGACAUCAGGAGGUUAGUGCAAUGGCAUAAGCCAGCUUGACUGCGAGCGUGACGGCGCGAGCAGGUGCGAAAGCAGGUCAUAGUGAUCCGGUGGUUCUGAAUGGAAGGGCCAUCGCUCAACGGAUAAAAGGUACUCCGGGGAUAACAGGCUGAUACCGCCCAAGAGUUCAUAUCGACGGCGGUGUUUGGCACCUCGAUGUCGGCUCAUCACAUCCUGGGGCUGAAGUAGGUCCCAAGGGUAUGGCUGUUCGCCAUUUAAAGUGGUACGCGAGCUGGGUUUAGAACGUCGUGAGACAGUUCGGUCCCUAUCUGCCGUGGGCGCUGGAGAACUGAGGGGGGCUGCUCCUAGUACGAGAGGACCGGAGUGGACGCAUCACUGGUGUUCGGGUUGUCAUGCCAAUGGCACUGCCCGGUAGCUAAAUGCGGAAGAGAUAAGUGCUGAAAGCAUCUAAGCACGAAACUUGCCCCGAGAUGAGUUCUCCCUGACUCCUUGAGAGUCCUGAAGGAACGUUGAAGACGACGACGUUGAUAGGCCGGGUGUGUAAGCGCAGCGAUGCGUUGAGCUAACCGGUACUAAUGAACCGUGAGGCUUAACC